rnacentral:rRNA from 1 species
GAUGAACGCUGGCGGCGUGCCUAAUACAUGCAAGUCGAGCGAACGGACGAGAAGCUUGCUUCUCUGAUGUUAGCGGCGGACGGGUGAGUAACACGUGGAUAACCUACCUAUAAGACUGGGAUAACUUCGGGAAACCGGAGCUAAUACCGGAUAAUAUUUUGAACCGCAUGGUUCAAAAGUGAAAGACGGUCUUGCUGUCACUUAUAGAUGGAUCCGCGCUGCAUUAGCUAGUUGGUAAGGUAACGGCUUACCAAGGCAACGAUACGUAGCCGACCUGAGAGGGUGAUCGGCCACACUGGAACUGAGACACGGUCCAGACUCCUACGGGAGGCAGCAGUAGGGAAUCUUCCGCAAUGGGCGAAAGCCUGACGGAGCAACGCCGCGUGAGUGAUGAAGGUCUUCGGAUCGUAAAACUCUGUUAUUAGGGAAGAACAUAUGUGUAAGUAACUGUGCACAUCUUGACGGUACCUAAUCAGAAAGCCACGGCUAACUACGUGCCAGCAGCCGCGGUAAUACGUAGGUGGCAAGCGUUAUCCGGAAUUAUUGGGCGUAAAGCGCGCGUAGGCGGUUUUUUAAGUCUGAUGUGAAAGCCCACGGCUCAACCGUGGAGGGUCAUUGGAAACUGGAAAACUUGAGUGCAGAAGAGGAAAGUGGAAUUCCAUGUGUAGCGGUGAAAUGCGCAGAGAUAUGGAGGAACACCAGUGGCGAAGGCGACUUUCUGGUCUGUAACUGACGCUGAUGUGCGAAAGCGUGGGGAUCAAACAGGAUUAGAUACCCUGGUAGUCCACGCCGUAAACGAUGAGUGCUAAGUGUUAGGGGGUUUCCGCCCCUUAGUGCUGCAGCUAACGCAUUAAGCACUCCGCCUGGGGAGUACGACCGCAAGGUUGAAACUCAAAGGAAUUGACGGGGACCCGCACAAGCGGUGGAGCAUGUGGUUUAAUUCGAAGCAACGCGAAGAACCUUACCAAAUCUUGACAUCCUUUGACCCUUCUAGAGAUAGAAGUUUCCCCUUCGGGGGACAAAGUGACAGGUGGUGCAUGGUUGUCGUCAGCUCGUGUCGUGAGAUGUUGGGUUAAGUCCCGCAACGAGCGCAACCCUUAAGCUUAGUUGCCAUCAUUAAGUUGGGCACUCUAAGUUGACUGCCGGUGACAAACCGGAGGAAGGUGGGGAUGACGUCAAAUCAUCAUGCCCCUUAUGAUUUGGGCUACACACGUGCUACAAUGGACAAUACAAAGGGCAGCGAAACCGCGAGGUCAAGCAAAUCCCAUAAAGUUGUUCUCAGUUCGGAUUGUAGUCUGCAACUCGACUACAUGAAGCUGGAAUCGCUAGUAAUCGUAGAUCAGCAUGCUACGGUGAAUACGUUCCCGGGUCU